rnacentral:lncRNA from 1 species
AUGACCCAUCCAGCAAAUGAAAAAUUAAUAUGUGUCCGCUCGGCCUGGCAGCAGCUGAGCAUCACCCAUCUGUCAAGGCAGGACCAGAAACUCGCCGCUAAAUGUCGCGGGAGGAAACUGGAUGCAUGGGGUGCCCCGGGAGUCCCCAGAACCAGGGGCAGCCACUCAUUAAAAAGUAAUCACCUUGUACGAGGAGGAUAUGAACAGCCCAAGGUCAGAUCCAUAAUUGCGUUAUUUCUGGAGCACAUACCUGGCUCGGGCGACCAACGGCCACGCUCUGACCCCAGCCCUGCUGCCCCCCCGGGAGCCGAGCCCUGCCCCACUGCACAGCUUGGAGCUGAGGAAGAGGAAGAUGAAGGUGGAAACGUCUCGGCAUCGGCAGCCCUCUGCCAGUGCUGCCCACCAGCGCACCCACAUCACGCUACGGGGACGUCGCUCUCCAUCCACCCCAAGCACCCGCAACACCUAGGGGGGGAAAUAUUAUUUAUUUUCACCUUGCUGGCACUCGACUGUUUUAUAAGCGUGAAGCUGCAAAGCAUAAGAUAAAACUGUAAGGUGCAGGUGAGAAAAUGCCAAAAUAGCAGGCGGGAAGCUGUGCUGCUUGCACCAGCAGCUCUGCCGCCUGCAGACCCAAGCGCCUCUCGCAUCCAGCUCGGCUGCCACGUCCCUGUCCCCUCCUCGCUGCCCAAUUCCCCAGCUCCCAGCCAGCACCAACAUCCUCCUCCUGUCGGGACACACGGCUGAGCACGGGGGCUGCCCACCCCGUAAAUCCAUUUCCUGCAUUCCUCACCCCGGUAAGCAGGGAGCCCCUGGGGCUCAUUCACACGUGGAGCCGAUGAGGAUGACGGGCACCUCAGCGCGCUCUCGGGUUACUACAAACCCACCCAGCACAUAAAAUCCUUCCCAGCGCUGUUAUUUAUUCCCCCGGGCACAGGAGCUGCAGGCGAGGAGCAGGCGAGUCCCUGCCCGACAAACGGGGGCCACGAGGUUUAGCCCGCUCGCAGCACGUUAUUGUUUCAGCAGACUUAUGCUUGCAACAUGUGGCCUGAUUCAGCAUUUCGAGGGAGGAGGGGAAGAUGCUCUGGGAACCGGCUGGAGCAUGGGGCUGGGAUGGGGCUGGAGCAUGGGGGACGGGAUGGGGAUGGGACAGGGAUGGGACAGGGACGUGGUGGCCCUAGAUCUGACCGAACUAUGCAGAAUACGUAAGAAAAUCCCCACGUCUCAGCAUCGGAAGCAGGAAUGCUGCCGCAAGGUUCCAGCGCUGGGCUUUAUGCUGCCUGAUCACGCAAGGCCAGCUCGGGAGCCUGGAGUCACCGCCGGCGACAUUGGGAGCAGAACACGGAGCGAUGCCCCAAGCAGGCAGGACCUGGCCAUGGCAUUCGGGACAAGCCCUUCACAACCUCUCUAACACCUCGCGCACAGCGCAGGUUCCCAGCACAUCGCCCCUGGCAUUUCGUUACACCCCUCUGCAGCCACCGGUCCCCUCACCACCGAUUACACCCAUACCAGCCCGUGCCGGGAGGCGUCGGGAUGCGGGACGCAGGCGGGUGCUCCGCGGGGUUCCCCCCAUCGUGAGCACACGCUGCUGCUCCCCUGCACCCAUCCUUUCCACUUUUCCUUCGCAGAGGAGCAUUGCUGCAUGCAGCCCUUACAAUACAGGCGGUGCCAAAGGAGGAGAGGAGCCGGGGCUCGCCGCAAUCCCCGCUGAAAAUGUCCCCUUGCAUCACGGAGCUGCCACGUCCCCGCAGAGGACGAGGCACGAGACAAAGCCGUCCGGCAGCUGCUGCUGCUGCCGCCGCUGCUUUCGGAGGCCUAAAGCAACACGAAGGGAGAUUAAUGACAGCGAGAGCAGCUGAGCUGCUCAGCCACCGGCCAGGGGACGACGGGACCCAGGCUCCCGCGUCCCCUGCUGCCACGAGUCCCUUCCCAGCUCGGUGCUGCCGCACCUCUCAUCUAUUUACACAGCAAAUUCUUUGUCAGGGACAGCCUCCUCUUAUGAGUUUGGCCAGGGCAGGAGAAAGGGGCACUUAUUCAGCUAUUAUUCAGCUUUUUUUUUGUAGGCAAGACAAGUGUGGGUUAAAGUGCAAUUUGUCUUGACAUUAGUUUUCACUUUCUUGGGGGAAAAAAAAAAAAGAAAAAAAAAAAAAGUGGCUCUUUUGAGGGAAAACACUCGCCUGGGCACCGCAACCCCAGCAGCCUGGGGAUGCCUCUGCUGCUCCUGGCCGGUCUCCAAACGGCACCCAAAAUGGGGGGGUCCUGGUCCAGGGCUUGGGGCCCUGGGCACCUCUGCAAUGCAGACCGUGACGGCAUCGCUGCAAUGUAAUAAACUCUCCUAAUUUUUCCUUGAUCGAGUUAUC